rnacentral:misc_RNA from 1 species
AGAAUUUCCAAGUCUAUACACCUACAAGUCUCUCCUGCUACACUCAUACUUGGCCUUUAUAAACUACCAAGGGAUCAAACGAACAAUUUUCUGGAAAUAAGUAGCACAAUGCUUCAAUUGUGAACCCGUAACCUCCUACUAAAUACGACACUACUUGUUGUGGUGCCAAACAUCAUCCCCUUCGUACAGUAUAACUAAAUAAACAUCCAGGAUAUCACUUCCUCUGGGUCCUCAUUCCGUCAACAAGAGGUUGACCAUGAAGAAAGCAAUGAUGAUUUGUAGUUGCUUGUGCAAUUCCCAGAACAAGACAUAAAGUUAAGGAUACCUGCUUCGGUUGGCUCAGCAAUAUCCCUUGCUCGCUUCUCUAAAACUCUAAUGAACUCAUCUGAGCUUAAACUUCCA